GACGAACGCUGGCGGCGUGCUUAACACAUGCAAGUCGAACGGAAAGGCCCUGCUCUUGUGGGGUGCUCGAGUGGCGAACGGGUGAGUAACACGUGAGUAACCUGCCCUUGACUUUGGGAUAACUUCAGGAAACUGGGGCUAAUACCGGAUAGGAGCUCCUGCUGCACGGUGGUGGUUGGAAAGUUUCGGCUGUUGGGGAUGGACUCGCGGCUUAUCAGCUUGUUGGUGGGGUAGUGGCUUACCAAGGCUUUGACGGGUAGCCGGCCUGAGAGGGUGACCGGGCACAUUGGGACUGAGAUACGGCCCAGACUGCUACGGGAGGCAGCAGUGGGGAAUAUUGCACAAUGGGCGGAAGCCUGAUGUAGAAACGCCGGGUGCGGGAUGACGGCCUUUGGGUUGUAAACCGAUUUGGCCUGUGACGAAGCGGGAUUGACGGUAAUGGGUAAAGAAGCACCGGCUAACUACGUG
rnacentral:rRNA from 1 species